rnacentral:ncRNA from 1 species
AAUGAAGACCCAGUUGAGGUUGACUCUAAUCUGACUUCUUAAAAACACAUCGGAGGUGCAGCAUAAGUAGGAAAUCCGUCACCAAUUAAAUACCACCACUAUUUGUCCUUCUUGAAUUACUCAGUGGACUAAAAGUGGUCAUGUCAUGUUUUACUAAUACGCAUAGUAACUUGUGUGAUUUAUAUUAAAGACGUAGCCACGUGGGGAGUUUAACUGGGGUGGUGUGCCUGUCAAAAAAUAACGCAGGUGUCCUGAGGCGAUUUAACGGGAACAGAGAUUUUGCAUCGGACAAAAGAAUAAAAGCUACCUCGAUUUCACCUUCAACUGCAAGUGCAGACACUGAAAGCGUAAGCCCUCUAUUCUUUUGUUUUUAAAAAUCCUGAGCAAAAGAUGUCAAAAGAGUCUGCAGAGGCCAAGUGCCGCUUUUUGAUCCUUCGAUGUCAGCCUUUUCUAUUACCGCAAGCUUUAAUUCAUCAAUUAUAGGAUUUUUCACUCACUAAUGAGGAACAUAAACCGGAUGUAGAUCGCCAUGAAAUAAAUCAGGUUUAC